GUGCCCAACGGAGUAGAAUUGCAUGAAGUGGAGUAGAGUAUAAUGCAGCCAAGGAUGACUUGCCGGAACGUUGUUAAUCAUACGUAUAAAUUAUGUGAUGAACAUAUUUCUGGCAAGUUGUCCUUCGGCUACAUUUUGCUCUCUUCUUCUCAUGCAAACUCUCUUUGGGAUAU
rnacentral:pre_miRNA from 1 species